rnacentral:rRNA from 1 species
AACGUAAGUGGCAAGCGUUAUCCGGAUUUACUGGGUGUAAAGGGAGCGCAGGUGGACUGGCAAGUCGAAUGUGAAAUGCCGAGGCUCAACCUCGGAACUGCGUUCGAUACUGUUGGUCUUGAGUGGAGUAGGGGCAGACGGAAUUCCCGGUGUAGCGGUGGAAUGCGUAGAUAUCGGGAGGAAUACCGGUAGCGAAGGCGGUCUGCUGGGCUCUAACUGACACUGAGGCUCGAAAGCGUGGGGAG